GUAGGUGGCAAGCGUUGUCCGGAAUUAUUGGGCGUAAAGCGCGCGCAGGCGGUCCUUUACGUCUGAUGUGAAAGCCCACGGCUCAACCGUGGAGGGUCAUUGGAAACUGGGGGACUUGAGUACAGAAGAGGAAAGCGGAAUUCCAAGUGUAGCGGUGAAAUGCGUAGAGAUUUGGAGGAACACCAGUGGCGAAGGCGGCUUUCUGGUCUGUAACUGACGCUGAGGCGCGAAAGCGUGGGGAGCAAACAGGAUUAGAUACCCUGGUAGUCCACGCCGUAAACGAUGAGUGCUAAGUGUUAGGGGGUUUCCCGCCCCCCUUAGUGCUGCAGCUAACGCAUUAAGCACUCCGCCUGGGGAGUACGGCCGCAAGGCUG
rnacentral:rRNA from 1 species